GACGAACGCUGGCGGCGUGCUUAACACAUGCAAGUCGAACGGUGAAGGGACCAGCUUGCUGGUUCUGGAUGAGUGGCGAACGGGUGAGUAACACGUGAGUAACCUGCCCCCUUCUUCUGGAUAACCGCAUGAAAGUGUGGCUAAUACGGGAUAUUCUGGGUCUGUCGCAUGGCGGGCCCGGGAAAGAUAUUGCUUCGGUGGGGGAUGGGCUCGCGGCCUAUCAGCUUGUUGGUGGGGUGAUGGCCUACCAAGGCGGUGACGGGUAGCCGGCCUGAGAGGGUGGACGGUCACACUGGGACUGGGACACGGCCCAGACUCCUACGGGAGGCAGCAGUGGGGAAUAGUGCACAAUGGGCGCAAGCCUGAUGCAGCGACGCCGCGUGAGGGAUGGAGGCCUUCGGGGUGUAAACCUCUUUCGCCAGUGAAGCAGGCCUGCUCCGUGUGGGUGGGUUGACGGUAGCUGGAGAAGAAGCGCCGGCUAACUACGUG
rnacentral:rRNA from 1 species